UACGUAGGGAGCGAGCGUUGUCCGGAAUUACUGGGUGUAAAGGGAGCGUAGGCGGGGAUGCAAGUUGGGUGUUAAAUCUACCGGCUCAACUGGUAGUCGCACUCAAAACUGCAGCUCUUGAGUGAAGUAGAGGCAGGCGGAAUUCCUAGUGUAGCGGUGAAAUGCGUAGAUAUUAGGAGGAACACCAGUGGCGAAGGCGGCCUGCUGGGCUUUUACUGACGCUGAGGCUCGAAAGUGCGGGGAUCGAACAGG
rnacentral:rRNA from 1 species